AACGCAUUCUCUGGUUAAAUGGAUGCCUGUCUUUAUGAUGAAGUUUGAUUGUGUACUGCAUGAAGACUCGCAAGUUCAGAGAAAACACUGUCAUAACCCGUGUGCAAGUCGGUGCUUGAUAGAAGAUCUUAGAGAAGAGAUUGAGUUCGAGGAUUUCAUGGCUGAAAGGACCUUCAAGAUCAUCAGUUCUUUCUUGAGACACUCGGCAGCAGAGAGGCCUGAAUCCUUGAUGAUGGUAGUGAAGUUGAAGGCAUCACGCUACCCCUAUUUCAAAUGGAAGGUGGCUGCCCAAGUCCUCCUCUCUCAUACCUUCUCUCAUCGCCUGGGGUUUCUAGAAGUGACCGGAAAUCCUAAUGCCUUGGGGAAGUCCAGGCAGCAAAGGAAGGAGAGAGAGGCUUUCCUACGUCACUGCUACAAUGAAUUUCUUUCUACAGUCCUCUUUUGUCUUGCUCCAGCAAGAGGAACAACAUAGUCUUUAAGGAUUUGAGGACAGAAGGAAACGUGGCUAGAUAAAGCCGGCACACACUGUAGCAUGUGUCCUGGGGAGAUAAUGGCUCUGAACCUGCUAAAAUAAAUGGUCUGCUUUGUUCUUGAAUAAUAAUCAGCUGGCAGCUUUGUUCUCUCUUCACAGCAGCUGG